rnacentral:rRNA from 1 species
GACGAACGCUGGCGGCGUGCCUAAUACAUGCAAGUCGAACGCAUUUUCUUUCACCGUAGCUUGCUACACCGAAAGAAAAUGAGUGGCGAACGGGUGAGUAACACGUGGGUAACCUGCCCAUCAGCGGGGGAUAACACUUGGAAACAGGUGCUAAUACCGCAUAAUUCCAUUUACUGCAUGGUAGAUGGAUGAAAGGCGCUUUUGCGUCACUGAUGGAUGGACCCGCGGUGCAUUAGCUAGUUGGUGGGGUAACGGCCUACCAAGGCUGCGAUGCAUAGCCGACCUGAGAGGGUGAUCGGCCACACUGGGACUGAGACACGGCCCAGACUCCUACGGGAGGCAGCAGUAGGGGAUCUUCGGGAAUGGACGCAAGUCUGACCGAGCAACGGCGCGUGAGUGAAGAAGGUUUUCGGAUCGUAAAACUCUGUUGUUAGAAAAGAACAAGGAUGAGAGUGGAAAGUUCAUCCCUUGACGGUAUCUAACCAGAAAGCCACGGCUAACUACGUG